UAGGGAAUAUUGGUCAAUGGGUGAGAGCCUGAACCAGCCAUGCCGCGUGCAGGAAGAAGGCCUUCUGGGUUGUAAACUGCUUUUACCAGGGGAUAAAAGACCCUUGCGAGGGAAAUUGAAGGUACCUGGUGAAUAAGCCACGGCUAACUACGUGCCAGCAGCCGCGGUAAUACGUAGGUGGCAAGCGUUGUCCGGAUUUAUUGGGUUUAAAGGGUGCGUAGGCGGUCCAUUAAGUCAGUUGUGAAAUACGGCAGCUUAACUGUCGAGGUGCAAUUGAUACUGGAGGACUUGAGUACAGACGAGGUAGGCGGAAUUGACGGUGUAGCGGUGAAAUGCAUAGAUAUCGUCAAGAACACCGAUAGCGAAGGCAGCUUACUAGACUGUAACUGACGCUGAGGCACGAAAGUGUGGGGAUCAAACAGG
rnacentral:rRNA from 1 species